rnacentral:misc_RNA from 1 species
GUAACAAGGUUUCCGUAGGUGAACCUGCGGAAGGAUCAUUAACCUUUCAAAACAGGGUGCGUCGCGGCCCCCGAGGUGCGGAAACAAGCCUCGAGCGGUUUGGGGUCCUCCCCUUCACGCGCGCACGACUGCCAUCCUUACUUUACGAGCACCUUCUGUUCUCCCUCGGCGGGGCAACCUGCCGUUGGAACCGAAUAAACUCUUUUUGCAUCUAGCAUUACCUGUUCCGAAACAAACAAUCGUUACAACUUUCAACAAUGGAUCUCUUGGCUCUGGCAUCGAUGAAGAACGCAGCGAAAUGCGAUAAGUAGUGUGAAUUGCAGAAUUCAGUGAAUCAUCGAAUCUUUGAACGCACAUUGCGCCCCUCGGUAUUCCGUGGGGCAUGCCUGUUCGAGCGUCAUCUACACCCUCAAGCUCUGCUUGGUGUUGGGCGUCUGUCCCGCCUCCGCGCGUGGACUCGCCCCAAAUUCAUUGGCAGCGGUCCUUGCCUCCUCUCGCGCAGCACAUUGCGCUUCUUGAGGGGCUCCGGUUCGCGUCCAACAAGCACAUUUACCGUCUUUGACCUCGGAUCAGGUAGGGAUACCCGCUGAACUUAAGCAUAUC